GACAGAGGGUGCAAACGUUGUUCGGAAUUACUGGGCGUAAAGCGUGCGUAGGUGGUUUGUUAAGUCUGAUGUGAAAGCCCUGGGCUCAACCUGGGAACUGCAUUGGAAACUGGCUUACUAGAGUGCGGUAGAGGGGUGUGGAAUUCCCGGUGUAGCAGUGAAAUGCGUAGAUAUCAAGAGGAACACCAGUGGCGAAGGCGAAUCUCUGGACAAUUCCUGACACUGAUGCUCGAAAGCUAGGGGAGCAAACGGG
rnacentral:rRNA from 1 species